CAAGUUGGGCCACCUGGUUAAGGACAUAAAGAUCAAACCCCUGGCAGAGAUCCAUUUGUUCUCCCUGUCCAUCAAGGAGUCAGAAGCCAUUGUCUUCUCCUAGCCGCAUCCCUUAGGGAUGAGGCUCUGUUACCAUGGCAGUGCGGAAGUAGACUCAGGUUCAAGGCUUUUGUCAUUGUUGGGAACUGCCAUGGUCACGUUGGUGUGAAUGUUAAGUGUUCCGAGAAAGGUAGCCUCUGCCAUCUGAGGUACCACAUCUCUGUCCAUCUUUUCAUUGUCUCGGUGCAGAGAGGCUGCCAGGGCAACAGGGUGGAUAAACCCCACA
rnacentral:lncRNA from 1 species